rnacentral:rRNA from 1 species
UAGUCAAGAUGAGAAUUCUAAGGUGAGCGAGCGAACUCUCGUUAAGGAACUCGGCAAAAUGACCCCGUAACUUCGGGAGAAGGGGUGCUCUUUGAGGUUCACGCUUCGAAGAGCCGCAGUGAAUAGGCCCAAGCGACUGUUUAUCAAAAACACAGGUCUCUGCUAAACCGUAAGGUGACGUAUAGGGGCUGACGCCUGCCCGGUGCUGGAAGGUUAAGAGGAGUGGUUAGCGCAAGCGAAGCUACGAAUCGAAGCCCCAGUAAACGGCGGCCGUAACUAUAACGGUCCUAAGGUAGCGAAAUUCCUUGUCGGGUAAGUUCCGACCCGCACGAAAGGCGUAACGAUUUGGGCACUGUCUCAACGAGAGACUCGGUGAAAUCAUAGUACCGGUGAAGAUGCCGGUUACCCGCGACAGGACGGAAAGACCCCGUGGAGCUUUACUGUAGCCUGAUAUUGAAAUUCGGUACAGUUUGUACAGGAUAGGUAGGAGCCUUAGAAGCGUGAGCGCUAGCUUACGUGGAGGCAUUGGUGGGAUACUACCCUAAUUGUAUUGGAUUUCUAACCCGCAGCACUUAUCGUGCUGGGAGACAGUGUCAGGCGGGCAGUUUGACUGGGGCGGUCGCCUCCUAAAGAGUAACGGAGGCGCUCAAAGGUUCCCUCAGAAUGGUUGGAAAUCAUUCAUAGAGUGUAAAGGCAUAAGGGAGCUUGACUGCGAGACCUACAAGUCGAGCAGGGUCGAAAGACGGACUUAGUGAUCCGGUGGUUCCGCAUGGAAGGGCCAUCGCUCAACGGAUAAAAGCUACCCCGGGGAUAACAGGCUUAUCUCCCCCAAGAGUUCACAUCGACGGGGAGGUUUGGCACCUCGAUGUCGGCUCAUCGCAUCCUGGGGCUGUAGUCGGUCCCAAGGGUUGGGCUGUUCGCCCAUUAAAGCGGUACGCGAGCUGGGUUCAGAACGUCGUGAGACAGUUCGGUCCCUAUCCGUCGUGGGCGUAGGAAAUUUGAGAGGAGCUGUCCUUAGUACGAGAGGACCGGGAUGGACAUACCUCUGGUGUACCAGUUGUCGUGCCAACGGCAUAGCUGGGUAGCUAUGUAUGGACGGGAUAAGUGCUGAAAGCAUCUAAGCAUGAAGCCCCCCUCGAGAUGAGAUUUCCCAACUUCGGUUAUAAG